CCUACGGGAGGCAGCAGUGAGGAAUAUUGGUCAAUGGGCGAGAGUCUGAACCAGCCAAGUAGCGUGAAGGAUGACUGCCCUAGGGGUUGUAAACUUCUUUUAUAUGGGAAUAAAAUGUUCCACGUGUGGGAUUUUGUAUGUACCAUAUGAAUAAGGAUCGGCUAACUCCGUGCCAGCCGCCGCGGUAAUACGGAGGAUCCGAGCGUUAUCCGGAUUUAUUUGGUUUAGAGGGAGCGUAGGUGGAUUGUUAAGUCAGUUGUGAAAGUUUGCGACUCAACCGUAAAAUUGCAGUUGAAACUGGCAGUCUUGAGUACAGUUGAGGUAGGCGGAAGUCGUGGUGUAGCGGUGAAAUGCUUAGAUAUCACGAAGAACCCCGAUUGCGAAGGCAGCUUACUAAACUGUGACUGACAUUGAUGCUCGAAAGUGUGGGUAGCAAACAGGAUUAGAUACCCUGGUAGUC
rnacentral:rRNA from 1 species